rnacentral:rRNA from 2 species
CUGUCAGACGACGCGGGCGGCGUGCCUAAUACAUGCAAGUCGAGCGGACAGAAGGGAGCUUGCUCCCGGAUGUUAGCGGCGGACGGGUGAGUAACACGUGGGUAACCUGCCUGUAAGACUGGGAUAACUCCGGGAAACCGGAGCUAAUACCGGAUAGUUCCUUGAACCGCAUGGUUCAAGGAUGAAAGACGGUUUCGGCUGUCACUUACAGAUGGACCCGCGGCGCAUUAGCUAGUUGGUGGGGUAAUGGCUCACCAAGGCGACGAUGCGUAGCCGACCUGAGAGGGUGAUCGGCCACACUGGGACUGAGACACGGCCCAGACUCCUACGGGAGGCAGCAGUAGGGAAUCUUCCGCAAUGGACGAAAGUCUGACGGAGCAACGCCGCGUGAGUGAUGAAGGUUUUCGGAUCGUAAAGCUCUGUUGUUAGGGAAGAACAAGUGCGAGAGUAACUGCUCGCACCUUGACGGUACCUAACCAGAAAGCCACGGCUAACUACGUGCCAGCAGCCGCGGUAAUACGUAGGUGGCAAGCGUUGUCCGGAAUUAUUGGGCGUAAAGGGCUCGCAGGCGGUUUCUUAAGUCUGAUGUGAAAGCCCCCGGCUCAACCGGGGAGGGUCAUUGGAAACUGGGAAACUUGAGUGCAGAAGAGGAGAGUGGAAUUCCACGUGUAGCGGUGAAAUGCGUAGAGAUGUGGAGGAACACCAGUGGCGAAGGCGACUCUCUGGUCUGUAACUGACGCUGAGGAGCGAAAGCGUGGGGAGCGAACAGGAUUAGAUACCCUGGUAGUCCACGCCGUAAACGAUGAGUGCUAAGUGUUAGGGGGUUUCCGCCCCUUAGUGCUGCAGCUAACGCAUUAAGCACUCCGCCUGGGGAGUACGGUCGCAAGACUGAAACUCAAAGGAAUUGACGGGGGCCCGCACAAGCGGUGGAGCAUGUGGUUUAAUUCGAAGCAACGCGAAGAACCUUACCAGGUCUUGACAUCCUCUGACAACCCUAGAGAUAGGGCUUUCCCUUCGGGGACAGAGUGACAGGUGGUGCA